AACUAACAAGGAUUCCCUAGUAACUGCGAGUGAAGCGGGAAAAGCUCAAAUUUAAAAUCUGGCGGUUCCACCGUCCGAGUUGUAAUCUGGAGAAGCAUUUCCCGCGUKGGACCGUGUACAAGUCUCUUGGAAUAGAGCGUCAUAGAGGGUGAGAAUCCCGUCCAUAACACGGACUACCAGUGCUUUGUGAUAUGCUCUCAAAGAGUCGAGUUGUUUGGGAAUGCACCUCAAAAUGGGUGGUAAAUUCCAUCUAAAGCUAAAUAUUGGCGAGAGACCGAUAGCGAACAAGUACCGUGAGGGAAAGAUGAAAAGCACUUUGGAAAGAGAGUUAAACAGUACGUGAAAUUGUUGAAAGGGAAACGCUUGAAGUCAGUCGCGUUGUCCGGGACUCAGCCUUGCUAUUUGCUUGGUGUACUUCCUGGUUGACGGGUCAACAUCAAUUUUGGCUGGUGGAUAAAGGCCGAGAGAAGGUGGCAUCUUCGGAUGUGUUAUAGCUCUUGGUUGUAUACGCUGGCUGGGAUUGAGGUUUGCAGCACGCCUUUUUGGCCGGGGUUUGCCCACGUAACGUGCUUAGGAUGUUGGCAUAAUGGCUUUAAGCGACCCGUCUUGAAACACGGACCAAGGAGUCUAACAUGCCUGCGAGUAUUAGAGUGGAAAACUCUUGUGCGAAAUGAAAGUGAAAGUUGGGACUCUUCGCGGAGGCACCAACGCCCGGCCCUGAAGUUUACUGACGGUGCUGCGGUAGAGCAUGUAUGUUGGGACCCGAAAGAUGGUGAACUAUGCCUGAAUAGGGUGAAGCCAGGGGAAACUCUGGUGGAGGCUCGUAGCGAUUCUGACGUGCAAAUCGAUUGUCAAAUUUGGGUAUAGGGGCGAAAGACUAAUCGAACCAUNNNNNNNNNNNNNNNNNNN
rnacentral:rRNA from 1 species